rnacentral:rRNA from 1 species
AUUGAACGCUAGCGGGAUGCUUUACACAUGCAAGUCGAGCGAGUGGCGGACGGGUGAGUAAUAUAUCGGAACGUGCCCAAUAGCGGGGGAUAACUACUCGAAAGAGUGGCUAAUACCGCAUACUAUUAGAUCUGCCCAUAUCGGAUUAGCUAGUUGGUGGGGUAAAGGCUCACCAAGGCAACGAUCCGUAGCUGGUUUGAGAGGACGACCAGCCACACUGGGACUGAGACACGGCCCAGACUCCUACGGGAGGCAGCAGUGGGGAAUUUUGGACAAUGGGGGAAACCCUGAUGCAGCCAUCCCGCGUGUAUGAGAAGGCCUUCGGGUUGUAAAGUACUUUUGGCAGAGAAGCGGUAUCUGCAGAAGAAGCACCGGCUAACUACGUGCCAGCCGCCGCGGUAAUUC